UCUCCUGUAGCUCAGUUGGUUAGAGCAUUGGUCUUAUAAACCCAAGGUCGUGGGUUCAAGCCCUCCCAGGAGAA